GGGGCCGUAGUGUAGCUUGGUAGCAUGCAACCUUGGGGUGGUUGUGGUCGCCAGUUCAAAUCUGGCCGGCCCCA
rnacentral:tRNA from 1 species